UGAGUAAAGUAUCGGAACGUGCCCAGUCGUGGGGGAUAACGCAGCGAAAGUUGUGCUAAUACCGCAUACGAUCUAUGGAUGAAAGCGGGGGAUCGCAAGACCUCGUGCGAUUGGAGCGGCCGAUAUCAGAUUAGCUAGUUGGUGAGGUAAAGGCUCACCAAGCCGACGAUCUGUAGCUGGUCUGAGAGGACGACCAGCCACACUGGGACUGAGACACGGCCCAGACUCCUACGGGAGGCAGCAGUGGGGAAUUUUGGACAAUGGGCGCAAGCCUGAUCCAGCAAUGCCGCGUGCAGGAUGAAGGCCUUCGGGUUGUAAACUGCUUUUGUACGGAGCGAAAAGGCUCUCUCUAAUACAGGGGGCUCAUGACGGUACCGUAAGAAUAAGCACCGGCUAA
rnacentral:rRNA from 1 species